AUGUCACCAGCGGCCAACACGUACACCACGCACCGUAAAUCUCCCUCCGAUUGGAUCCAUAGUCAUGAACCUCCAACCGCACAGCAAUCGCCACACACCCCAAGCCGGCACCACCGCACCAUCCCUGUCAAAACUGCAACGGAGAUAUCUCGACGCGCCAAAGCAAGUCGGAAUCGCGACAACCACCACGUGUGCCUCAGUUGCUCUGCCGCGAGCUCAGUUGUGACCGCUCCUAAGAGCACCGGGCUUCCAACUUGA